rnacentral:rRNA from 1 species
GACAAACGCUGGCGGCGUGCUUAACACAUGCAAGUCGAACGGAAAGGCCCUGCUUUUGUGGGGUGCUCGAGUGGCGAACGGGUGAGUAACACGUGAGUAACCUGCCCUUGACUUUGGGAUAACUUCAGGAAACUGGGGCUAAUACCGGAUAGGAGCUCCUGCUGCAUGGUGGGGGUUGGAAAGUUUCGGCGGUUGGGGAUGGACUCGCGGCUUAUCAGCUUGUUGGUGGGGUAGUGGCUUACCAAGGCUUUGACGGGUAGCCGGCCUGAGAGGGUGACCGGCCACAUUGGGACUGAGAUACGGCCCAGACUCCUACGGGGGGCAGCAGUGGGGAAUAUUGCACAAUGGGCGGAAGCCUGAUGCAGCAACGCCGCGUGCGGGAUGACGGCCUUCGGGUUGUAAACCGCUUUCGCCUGUGACGAAGCGUGAGUGACGGUAAUGGGUAAAGAAGCACGGGCUAACUACGUG